UUAAAUGUUGACUUGGUGGGAUCUCCCACAAAGAACGUUGCUUCUCAAUCAUCCCACAAUAAGAACUAAUAUUUAAAAAGUGGCAGAUUAUGAAAUUGACACACAGUCACUGGGGAAGCGCCUCACGGCUGGUGGAGGGCACCCGGAAGCACAGUCGCAGGCUGCCAGACCGUGCUCAGGCGCAGUGGGGCGUGUGGCAGGUUCGCCUCUGUGAGGUGAGCAGUGCGCAUCCAUGGGCGGGUCUCCGCAGGUGCCUGCGUGCAAAAGGAUUGCGGCCCCUGGCAGAUGGGAGCAGGAGGGCAGAGGAGCCAGCUGCCCAGCACCUUUCACCUGGCUCUGUGGGGUGUUCCAAGUGUGCCUAAGAAACCGCUCAGUUAUCCGUGGCCGUGUGAACAAGCUCUAGUCAAUGGUGGAUAAAUAGAGGCCGUAGGUACGACUUUUAGACCUGCCCUUAAACGUGUCUUAGCACAUGAACCUCCUUGUCAUUUGGCAUUGCCUGGCUGAAGAGGACUCCUUCAAGACCCUGUGGAAGGGCAGGCAAGAGUGACAUCAUCAGUGGGGUGACCUGAUCUUAUACUGUGAACCUCCAAGACUGGCAUCAAUAUGAAUUGCCUACAUCUGUAAAAUCAAGAAACAACAAUGAUACGUCAUGCACAACAAACCCAGUAUUGGGAUGGCCUUGAAUUCCUUGCUUGUUUGUUACGUGUCUGGGUAUGUUUGUGCAGGGUCAGUCAAUUUCUUGGCAGAAUUCAGUUCCAUGAAGUUGCAGGACUGGGGUGACCAUUUCCAUGUUGGCUUUGACUGGGAUUCCUCAGUGUCUCCAGGCUUCCUAACUACCUUCAUCUACAAAGCCCAGAAGGGCCGGUCCUAGCCUUCCCAUUAUUCUUUCUGACUUCUUCAGCCUCAUCUCUCCUGCUUCCUAGCCCAGCUGAAGAAACUGAGCCUCGGAUUUAGCUGGAGGUUUCCUUGCACAUCAUGGAGUCCUCACAGUGACUGCCAUCACUCAGCUCUGAUUCUUGGCCAUGCACAGGAAACCAUGUCUAGAAGAUCUUUUUGAUUUGAAGAUUUGUGGCACCUGUCACACGCAUUAUAUACCAUCACAAUGGCUGAUCGCUCUACCUGCUUCCUGUUCAGCAGACAUGAGCCUUUCUCAGCUCAGAAAGUUGGUCCAGAUGCAAAACCAUAGUGCUAGAAGGCUGCCAAUAACACACAUUCUCUUAAGUGCUUGGUGGUAAAGCUGGCUUCAUUCUUCCAUUCAAAAUAAUCACUCCUCAUUACUCAUUCUUUUUCCUCACUGAGUUGACUUUUAUUGGAAAUAAGCUGUUAAGCCUGACCUCUCUUAAAGAUAAAUGCUUUAUUUUUCUUUAUGUGUUUAUUUUUGUGU